UUAGACUCGUACAACGUAUUACAAGUUGCGAAAAAGUGCAGUAUCUUGGCGGUUGAUGUUUUAGUCUUGACGUAGUUAAAUCAUGAUUACAAGCUCAUUGCAUUCAAGUUUGAAAAUGGGAGGACAUUCAUGUGCAAUUUUUUACCUUCAAAACUCAUAUUUACGAUUAUUCCAAGAGCACGUUAAGACAGCAUUAGCAGCACAGAUAAAUUACAUCUUUAUUGUGUCUGUUACCCUUUUGUGCUAAAUAUUUCUGCAAUACAUUUACGCUGCAGAUUACGGACACUGAAGACUAUAAGCAGAAAGUUCAAGUCUGGGUGGCCAAAAGUUAUAUUUCAGUGACCUGGUUACCGUCUCUCUCUGCAAACCCAAAGGAUCACUUUCCUCAGCGGAUCUGCCCCAAUCAUCAUUAACGGGACCACAGUGGAGAGAGUGAGCAUCUUCAAUACCUUCAAAUGCCCUGCAAAGAGUAGCUGAGCACAUGUCCAGAACAUCUCUCCCCUCUCUGCAAGACAUCCAAACCAGGAGAUGUAAAUCUAGGGCUGUUAAGAUCCUUAAAGACCCCACCAACCCAUCUGCUACAGUCAGGCAGACCCUUCUGCAGUCUGAUGGCAAAGAUGGAGAGGCUCAGGAGGAGUUUCUUCCCUCAUGUUAUCAGACUACUAAACAUGGACAUUAAACACACUGAACUUUAUAGACUGGUUGUUUAGGGCUACCCAAUAACUCUCUGCACACUGCGCUUUUUUGACAACCUAACUAGGCAUUUCAUCCUCACUGCACAUUGUGUACAUCUCUGCACAUUAUCUGUGUAGCAGUUUCUGUGUAGCACCUCUACAAAUCAUCUGUGUAGUAAUACAGUAUAUUGUGAAUAUUUCAUUAUUUGUAUUUAAUUAUCUCCAAAAAAAAAAAAAAAAC